CCAUCACACGCCCCCCAGCUCUCGAACUUGUACUUGCAGUCGGCUGGCAGGAGAGGGGGGGCCCAGGGUCAGAGCCGGGCUGCCGUGCCCUCGCUCCACGCCAGCCCCCUUGGAGGCCGC